AUCCUUUUCCAGUGCAUAAGCAUAAUGACUGGGUAUUCACACAUUUGCGUGACAGGUGCCUCCCUUAAAUCUUGCUACAUAUUUUACACAUUAUCCAUCUGAUG